rnacentral:rRNA from 1 species
ACAUGAAUACAACAUAGUGUUAAUGAACUAGAUCCCAUUAGAAGUUUGUAUUUAAGCACUCUCGGGCUAGAGUAGUAUUGGGAUGGGUGACCACCCAGGAAGUCCUAGUAUUUUACAUGCA